AUUUACUCCAGGCUCUCCUCCACACUGCCAGAGGGGGAAGUUCUGAGCCCAGCAAGAUGGAGGAGAUGAUUGGGCCUUUGCUGUCUUGGUCCUAGGAUGAGAGCUCAUUCCCUCCUGAAAUCUAUAGUCCAUCUCGCUCUGGACUGAAAUAGCCUCCCAACCCUCCCAAGGUUGUAUCCUGG